UACGGGGGGGGCAAGCGUUGUUCGGAAUUACUGGGCGUAAAGGGCUCGUAGGCGGCCAACUAAGUCGGACGUGAAAUCCCCAGGCUCAACCUGGGAACUGCGUCCGAUACUGGAUGGCUUGAAUUCGGGAGAGGGAUGCAGAAUUCCAGGUGUAGCGGUGAAAUGCGUAGAUAUCUGGAGGAAUACCGGUGGCGAAGGCGGCAUCCUGGACCGACAUUGACGCUGAUGAGCGAAAGCUAGGGGAGCGAACAGG
rnacentral:rRNA from 1 species